CACCAUUGUGCGACUUUGAGAUGUUACUCAAAUGUUUGACCUGUUUUAAGCUUGUUCGUGAUAACCAAACUCUUUUCUAAUGGACGAUUACAUUGAAUGACUCGAUUGCAUUCAGUGCAUGUAUGUUACAUUAUAAUAUUCAUGGUCAUGACAAUGCAUGAUUGCUAUCAUGUGUUCACAAUUUCUCACCGUCACCUUUGGAUUUCCUUACCAUUUAAGUGUAUGGGAAGUUUGGCUCAUGACAACAUUUCACAGCGCAGUCUCACAGUUGGAAGUCAACUCAAUUCGAAGCAAUGCAAGUGCUGAUGUCAGAGGAAGCUGUGACUCCUGUUCGAUGGAAACAGCGGUGGGAGGGAUAUAUGACAGCAGAAUAUCAACAAACAACAUUGACUGUUUUUGAGAUAAGUUUAAGAGAUUAAGGCAACAGUGGAUCAGACAGGCGCUAACUAGUCAGUAUGAAUCAUAGUUUCGGCUCUGCAGUAUAGCUCAAUCUGUCAACAUUGCAUGACAUGAUUAUAAUGACAUUUCCUGCAUUGUUUUAUGCAAAUGAUAUACAAAUUGCAUUUGCAAUGGUAGAAGCACAUUGUUGUGUUUCAUCAUUACAUUGUUUCAAAUACGCUUUGCUGUAUUAACAAACGACCCUAACAAAUCAAAGGUCUACUCAAAACAUGGAUACUAGCAAACACAGUUAGAUUGGCGUUACUAUUUCAUCUAUUUUUCAUGGACUUUAAUGCAUUUAUGGCCAGGACAGUGAAGAGAAAGUGAGACAGGUCAGUGAAGAGAGUUAGACAGGUCAGUGAAGAGGGAGUGAGACAGGACGGUGAAGGGUGACAGGACAGUGGAGAGAGUGAGACAGGACAGUGAAGGGUGACAGGAAAGUGAAGAGAGAGUGAGUCAGGACAGUGAAGAGAGAGUGAGUCAGGAAAGUGAAGAGUGACAGGACAGUGAAGUACCUCAGGAAAGUAGGUGGACAGGGAGAAGAAAGGCCAAUAGCAGAUUGGAUUUUGACCUGGGUGAGGGUUUUUGAAUCAACCCUUAUCAAUCUUCUGGAAUAAAAUGGGGUUUUCGUAAAAGACUCACACUGUUGAGCUGUUAGCCCUUGUUAAGGAUGGUUUGGUCCAAAAAUUGGACAAAAUUUGUUUGUUUUGGCAAUAUCACCCUCUCUUAAGCCUUUCAGGAUGUAGUGUAAUGAGUCCACAUUUCUGAUAUUCUCACAUUUGAUUAGACUCUGUAUCUGGCUCUGCUUUGUUUAACAGCACUACCUCUCACAUCUUCUCCCUCCCUCGCUCUCUCUCUCUCUCUCUCUCUCUCUCUCUCUCUCAUUCCCCUUUCUCUCUCUCUCUGUCUCUCCCUCUCUCUCUCUCAUCCCCCCACCCCUUUCUCUCUCAUUCCCCCUUCCUUUCACUCUCUGUCUCUCCCUCUCUCCCUCUCCCUCUCAUUCCCUCUUUCUAUCUCUCUCUGUCUCUCUCUCUCAUUCCCCCCUCCCUCCCUCCUUCCCUCCCUCCCUCCCUCCCUCCCGCCUGCCCGGGUCUUGGAUCGGCUUUAGGAGUCCUGGAGGAUUAGUUCAUGUCUACGGUACUGCUGCUGGUCUGCAUCAUUACACUCUAGACGGCGGCGGUGGCUUUUAUGAACAAUGUCUUAGCCGGGCGUAGCUCUGGAGCUUCUCACAAAGCCAGCUGGCUCGGUCUCCGGCGCACUAGUCCCUGACACGGACCAGCGAUCAUGCUAAUACAUGGUAAUAACACGGAGCUUUAGGGACUGGGAUCCGAUGGAGCGGGCGGGCGGUGUUGGGGGCAGUGUGGGGACGGAGAGGGUUGCCAUAGGCGUUGUUUCACGGCCACCAGGAGCACACAAAGAGCACUUUUGUAAUCGUCUAAAGCGCUUCAUUAUUGAUGAGGUUAAGGCCCAAUCCCAAUCCUACCCCUUAACCCUUCCCCUUACCCCUUCAAAACAAGGGGGAGGGGUAAGGGGAAGGGGUAAGGGGUAGAAAUGGGAUUGGGCCUAAAUUGAAUGCAAAUCAGCCGCAGGACCCAGGCACUACCGCUGUCCUGGGCCCAUCUGUCGAAACGUGUUGCCUCGUAGAUGCGGUCGUAACGAUGACACUAUAUGUGUCUGGCACACUCUUGGUCCUAGUCGGCAGUAGCUUAGGAGGUAGAGGGGGUUGGAUGGUAACCGCAAGGUUGCUAGUUCGAUCCCUGGAGUGUCGAGGUGUCCCUGAGCAAGGCGCCUAACCUUAACUGCCUCCGGCGAACCUGCUGUCACCUUGCAUGGCUGACACUGCCGUCGGUGUGAGAAUGUGUGCAUGAAUUGGUGACUUUUAGGCAACAUUGUAAAACGGUUUGGGUAAAAGUGCUAUAUAAAUGUAGUCCUUCCAUUUACCAUAGUCUUAAUGAGGCAUAAGAAAAAUAGACAUCUUUAAAGCCUAAAUGCUAAAAACAAAAUAUCAUGAUUGGAUGUAAAUAAUUUGAUCUCAUUUUUAUUAUAGAUGAUCAGAAUAUCAUAACUUCACCAAACGUGUCUUCAGAAUAAAAACGCUUUGUUUGACAAAAGAAGGGAUCCAAAACAACAUUUUAAAUUAUUUUCACACAUAAGAACAACAGCAUAAGGAUUAUAUCUAAUGUGUGAUUUACAUAACUACACUUACAUAAUCAGCUCAGUGUAGGGCACCACAUUAAAAGCAAGUUAAAGGUUGUUUCAACAGAACACAAUAAGUACCAAACAGAUCCCCCGACCACACCACAUUAACAACACAUAUUUUUAUUUGAAACAUUAUGACGGUGCUACGGCCCCUACACGGCUCCGCUGUCCUUUUAUGGAGACGAUAUUCUUGUCUGCGGCCGUAGCAGCUGCUGCAGCCUCCACCCAGCAACCUAUGGAACACUGGCCCUCCAUCGGUUCAGACGGCUACCGCGGCGACACCUCGACCGCCAGAGAACACCGGCCCGGCUUCCCUCAUUCCCCAAAUAGUUGUGCUGUAAUGGUGCAGGACCACGGGACCACAUGAUGGAAAGGACUGCACUUAUCUUUGGUGCUGGGGGAGUUGUUUUCGUUUUAGGUGCACCUGUGUCGUUUUUUUCCAUUGAGAGACAGACUUUCACCUGGCUUUCAUGUAGCCAUGAGUGUUUUUCUUUUCUUUUCUUUUUUGUUCGACUUGCCCAGAGGUUUGUGCUUUUUUUUUAUGGGCUUUUAAGUUCAGAGACAUUCCGUUGAAAGAGGAUUCGCCCUCCAGUUUAAAACAAGCCAUCCAAACAAACAUCUGUGUUGUGUUCAUGAUCUUUAAUAAUAGUAUAGCAACGCUCACUGAAGUCGUCUUAUAUUAUAGAAACAAAUUUUAAGGUUUAGAAUGCUGCAUGGUUAUGCAACACACUUCUCACAUCAGUCACUUAAAAGUCUAUAAAUGAUCAUAUUGAAGCAAUGUUGGAUAAACGUCUACAUUGCUACUUGUCGUCUUCUAUAUCUUGAAUGAUGAGGUGGAACAGCGACGCAGAUCAAGACAUCUGAGGUGAAGGUUGUCUGGACCGCUAAUCGCCAAAAACUGGCAGGUUGCCCAUGGCUUCCUGUUGGAACUAUCUUGUCUGAUGAGCAGAAUCCUCUCAACGUCAAUAUAUCACUUCCAUUGAAACGGCCCUGGUCAUAUCUGCUUUUCCUGUCUGGUCUCUAGAAUGUUCUCUGGCAUUCGAUGACAUCGUGUCUUUCCAAAUUCUGUGUACUGUCGACAGUUCAGUUGCAGGCCUUUUGUUGUGGGUAUGAUAUCUCAGGUCGAGAAAUGCACGGAAUGUCUUUUUAAAAAAGACAAUUCAACUGGUAAACUCCUUUUUUACUGGAUGUUUAGUCUAGUGAGCUUUGGGAUUUCCUUGAAGGGUUCAUUCAUUGUCGAAAGUUGAUGCUUUCACUUGAAUGCAGCAAAGCCAUUUCAUGUAUUUGUGUUAGGCCUUCAGUGUUUACCACUGUAGUUUACAUUUGUGGCAGUGGGUUCCGCCAUAACUGUACAAGUAAAAUACAAGAGAAGAAGCAGUGAAGCAGACAGAGGAGGGUUUUCAAACAUAGGUAAAUCCUCCCACACGCCUCGGUUUCCCAACCCAUGCUAAACUGAUAGAGAGACUAUGUUCAAGGAGGAACACUGCUUCGCUUCAAGUGGAUCUCUGGACUUGGCAGGUUGAGCACUUCUCCUAGCCUUAUGUCAGUCCGUUGGCAGAGCCAGGCAUUAACGCUGCACAGGUUCAAUGGUUUGAUUCCCACUGGGGCAACUCAUGUUAAGAAAUGCAUACCCUCAUGGCUUUUGAAGUCCGAACGGUUGGCAUAGGUUUAUUUAUUUAGAGUAAAACUCUUUAAUGGGCUACAGGGCUGCCCCAUCACUGUACUCUUCCCCCCCCCCCCCCCAUCUCCAGUCGGAAUCCAUGCCCGUUUCAUCCCUCUGUUCUGGUUUGUGUGGACAAUAAAGCUCUUAUCAGUCCUACAUGUCAGCCGAAUUGUACAGCAGAUUUCCGAUUCCCAUCAGUUCCCACUGGGGCCACCCAUGGCAACGCAUGCACUCCCAGUAAUUAAGGCACUUUGGAUGCAAUGAAUCCAUCGAUGGCAUAUAGAAGAACCCUGACACGGUGCAUCUUGCCAUAACUGUUGCGGUACAUCGAUCGGACCGGCGAACAAAAGACUAGACAGCAGCGAUCUAGAUUGGAGGGACACACUGUCUUAACACUGCUACUGUACAUCAAACAAUUAGCCGGCUAGUGACCAGCUAACGUUCCACUGGCUUGGUUUAAGAGCCUUUUUAAUGGGAGCUGCGUUGACUCAAUUAUGAUAACCCAAUAAGGCAGAGAGAGUGUUAUCAUGGAGGCUCUUCAUGUACUCUGCAGCAACGCCUCCCGACAGGCAAGACAGGACAGGAGGACGUGUUUUAAUGCUUCAGCUUCCUAGCCUGCGGGGCCUGUAUUUCCGUCUCUCUCAGCCUAAGGGAUACACUGAUGUGGGAUUUUUAAUCAACAACUCCUCAGUAUGUUGUACACUAGUAUGACAUGGGUGAGAUGGUGCGAAGGAUCCCUAAUGUAUGUUGCUAUGUGGGAUAGCAACAAAAUACAUUGGGGAUAAUACAAAAAAUAAAGUAGUAACGGUAGGGCUAAGUAAAACAUAAAAUACGAAAUUUGUGGUACUAAUUAAGCAGUUAAAAAUAAAGCAACCACAGGUAGAAACAAUCACAUCCAUCUGGUGGACGGGGGAAGCUACCAGGUUCCAGUGAUAUGCACAUAGACACUUAGACUCGCUUUCGUCUGGAAGUCCUUGAGGUUUUACUAAAACAAGAUAACGCACGCUCCUCUGUCAAGAGGUUUCGACCAGCCAGUGAUCGAUUCCUUCCAGUGCCAAGCCUCCAGCGGACGUGAAAGUGAACCACUUUCCCCCCGUCAUACCCGGCCCGACCCGCAGCCACUAGGCUACGCUGGCCAUAAUCUGUUGAGAGGAUCUGUGUGGAUUAGGCCGGGAGUUACCGGCCUCAGUGGAUGACCAGUCCCCCCGGGCCAACCCAGGGGAUUUUUAUAACAAAACAUUUUCAUAUUUUUCUGCCAUGCGUGCGUUAUUGUUAAUUAAUUUGAAUUCAUAUUCAUAUGCCGUUUCCUUCUGCAACGCAAAUUUUUAUAUGCAAGGAUUGUCCUCGCUUGUAGGUCGCUGUGGAUAGAAGGGUCCGCUGAAGGUCAAUUUGCUCACUGAGUGACGUAUUCAGUGCAUACGUGCACCUUGUUUAGUGACCGUUUUCAUAGAGGAUCUUUGUCUCCCCCUACUUCACAUCACGCUACUGUCAAAACCGCUAAUUGCUAUUCACAUCACCUCACUCGUGUCACUAUGACGAUAUUGUAUUCUAGAACAAAAAAAAGACGAUCAUCUUGGACAUACACUACAUGCAGGUAGCUGAACGAUGAUCUCAACAGAGAGUUGACAACAAUCUCAACUUCACAGGCAAGAUAUAGAGCAGCAUGCCACAGCAAAGCAGUGGGUCAGCAGUCCUCCCCAAGAACAUUUUGUGAACUUUUGCUCGUCCUGGUCUGUUGUUGUUGUUGUACGAAUGCCAAGUCCUAAACGGAGAGUUCGUUGAGCUCUGUGACCGUCCAGAAUGUGUUGGAGGUUUAUUGUGAAGGUGUGUGUGUAGACCAGACUACUGAGGACAGAUAUAGCAGCCCUGGAGGAUCAAACCUGGCCUGCAGAUCACAUUUCAGUGCAGUAUAACGGCUUCUGAUGUAGUUCAACUCAGUUCACCACAGAGCUAAGGUAGUGAUUCUUACAGAAUUGAAACUAAAUACUAAUAAAGUACCUCACAAGGACUUGGGAAAGGAAGGAAUAACAAGAGGGAGACAUAGGUUUAUUGUAAUUAUGAUUCAGAUUCUAUUUGAGCUGCCCUUUUAUUGUGGAAGACCGUCUAGCCUGACUCGGCUUACUCAGGAGGACGAGUUCAGGUUGUAAGAUCUUAAGUGUCUCUUUUGUACUCAAGCGGCCAUGCUCUGAAUAGCCGGCUCAUAGUUGGCUGACAGUUCUCUGACUGUUCUCGUAAGAUUAAAUUCGUUCGGGAACGACAGUGAGGUGAGUGAUUCAACCACGCGUUUAAGAGAACAACGCGAGGAGCCAGUUGGCUCAUGUUGACUGUUGAUCGAGCUUAAGCUCUUUAUGAAGGGUUUUCAUCGGCUUCACACGCAUUUGACCAAGGAACCUAAGACUGAUACAGGCUGCCCCUAGGGCUGUUCUUAUUCAGACCUCCACCAUAAACGUUUCAUUUCAAACUUUGAUUCCAACAUCUAGGUGACACACUUUGGUCUUCUCAUACAAUUUUCACACUGACAGGAACCAACUUUCAGCAUAUUCUUUAAAAUCAGGGGCUCACCAAUGUAAUGUUUGUUUGCCACACAUUUGAAUUAAAAUCUAUCUGCGCCAGCAUAUUUACUAUUAUAAGCUUUUUUUAUAUAUACAUUUUGACUUUUGUCUUGUAUUGUCUUUUACUUAUUGUCAUAAAGUUGUAUAAAACAUGAGAAAUAUCCCCCUUUCUGUUGAGCGGCUGAAUGAUCAGGAAUGUUGUCCUUCCUGUACCAGUGAGGUUAUGACCCCUGUAGCGGGCAGGUGAUCAUUCAGAGACGAUGAAUCCCGUUACAUCACCGCUCUCUAAGUCAACUGCAUUAGCCAAGUCAUGUGACUCCUGCGGUAGGCUUUUAACCCAACGGUGAUGUCAUCACUGCCAGAGACCUGUAACUGCCCUGUUGUCAUUUGGCUGAAAGGAGGUUAAGUGUUAGCAUUUGACUAGCUUAGCUUAGAUGAGGAUAGCUUAGUUGGCUAACCAGAUAACAAAAACAAGAGUGGUAGUAGAGAAUGCAUCUACAGUAUCUGCUAUACUGCAUCCAUUAUUAGCAUUGUUCUAUACACAUUUAGUUGAUUUAUUAUUAAGGAGAUACGCGUGAUUUGAGAUUGCCUGUUAAAUGUAAGCUCAUUGCACAACACAUUUUAAUAAUGAACUGAGACCAACACAGAGAAACUGAGACAAAUGCACUUGUGCAUAUGGACCCAUAAACACUGACUUUCAAAAGUUAAAACUACAUUUAUUGAGCCGCUUAUCCAUAUCCCAUGACUUGGUCACGUCGGUGUUGCAUGCAAUAAUUAUCAUGUUCUGUACUAACCGACACUGUGUCGAUCUUGUGAUACACAAGAUCUGAGCAGUGUAAUACUAAAGGAAUUUAGUAGGAAUAUCAGGAUUAGACCUCACCACGCCAUGGGUUAUGAUGGUAUUGGACUCAGCUCUCUUUUUCCUCGUUAUUAUCCAUAUUUAUAUGGGGUUUAUAUGGACAACCUGCCAUUUUCGGGACAGUGUCGACAGACAGGAAAGGGGAUUGAAAGAGGGGAAAUCACAUGAAAAUAUUCUGUAUGUGGAUGAGUCGUAGCACCCACCCAAGCUACUACUAUUACUACUACUACUAGUAUGCCUAUAGUAAUUGUUCACUUGGGAACAUUGAUAUUACAGGCAGAAAUUGGGUUAAAAAUUAUUUGUGGAAGAAGUUGGGGUCACAAGAUAUUCCGGAUUUAAUAACCCAGGCGUGGUUGUCGCAGGCUGCACUACAGUAGCACGACUUGUCUGAAUAGAAGGGGAACCGUCACGCUCAGCCCUUUCCUAACACAAGAGCGUACCACUUCAUCCACGUGCGAUACAUCAACUCAGUUUACGACCUCAAUGUUCCGAAUUGGACCAACAGAGAAUGGAAAUUCCCGAAAAAUUAGGACAACGGUCCGAACUUUUCUAACCGGAGUGCGUAGAGGGCAAAGUGUGGGGUCCGUAUUUUAGACUAAGGGCCCACACUGCCCCCUGUAGGCACCACAUGGUGUCAACAAGCAUGGCGCUAAUCCUCCGGCUGAGCCGAUGACCUUUAUCACACAGCUGCUGCUCCCCGCCAUUGGCCUCAGCCAUUCAUUCUCACUGCUCAUUGUCUGCCAACGUACGCUACAAUUAGCAUGUGGCUAACGGGUGGCACAGCGGCCGCAAAGGUUUAAUCAUACAUCUGCAGUCCAACAGCCACUGGUCUUUACUCCGAUGAGUGCGGUUAAGGUGUUGCCCUUCUGUGAUUUAGAGCGUUGUCGGCCAGUGUCAUCGGGCGAUUUAUAACAUGAGUUGUGGUGGCUGACCUCCUCAACUCGCUCCCUAAUUUUAGCACCCAUUUGGAGGCCCUAAGAGCCCUAACCCCUACCUGCCCCCUGACGAAUUGUAUAUGAACGCACUGUACUUAGCUUUGAAUAUACGCGUCUCAUAUGUGUCUUUAUGGUAGAUAUUAAUAAUAGAUAUGUGGAUAAUUAACAGGGUGCUGCUGAGACACAGCCACUCUACCCUGAGUAAACACAGGGCUCAUCUGUCUACAGGGUCAUAAGGCAAUUAUUCAUCCAUGAAAGUCAAUAUGAGAGAGUAUGUCACAAGCUUGGGUCGGUAUUCAGGCCACCGUACAACCCUGUUCCUCAGCUGAACUUGCAGGCCUUGUGGGCACCCGGAACCUGAGCUGCUCUAACUAUUUCUAUUCAGUGUGUGAAGCUCGAAUGACCUGACCUGUGUUUGCGACGUCAAACUAAAUGUCACUACCCGCCGUCGUACGUCUGGAGACUUAUUUGAAGGUUUGUGGUCGUGUUUGCUGUAGGUAGGACUGUAAGUGCUGAGUAGAGAAGCACUUGAAAGUUCAGAUGGGUUGUGUGUUUACUUUUUGGUGUUUACUCGUUGCUUUUGGCCGCUGGCUUUAUUUGUUGUCUUAUGUGUUUUCGCACUAGUUUUAUCUCAAAAAUACAAUUUGGCCACUGGCUAUAAUUGUUGUGAUACGUGUUAACGUUCCAGCUCGAUCUCAAAAAUACAUUUUGGCCCCUGUCUUUUUGAUCGAAAUAAAUAUCGCAGAUCUUUUCAGAAACAACAUAAGGUAGUUAUAAUGUCAGAGUUUUCAGUUUGGCCGUUAACUUUCUCCAUAGGGACUGCAGAUGUUCCAGCUACAACUGUACUAUCAAUAGUCUAGAAAAAAACUGUUAUUAGCCUUAUAGCCUAGAAU